GACGAACGCUGGCGGCGUGCUUAACACAUGCAAGUCGAACGGAAAGGCUCCAGCUUGCUGGAGUACUCGAGUGGCGAACGGGUGAGUAACACGUGGGUAAUCUGCCCUGCACUCUGGGAUAAGCCUGGGAAACUGGGUCUAAUACUGGAUAUGACCUUUCUCCUUAUGGGGUUUGGUGGAAAGUUUUUCGGUGUAGGAUGAGCCCGCGGCCUAUCAGCUUGUUGGUGGGGUGAUGGCCUACCAAGGCGACGACGGGUAGCCGGCCUGAGAGGGUGAUCGGCCACAUUGGGACUGAGAUACGGACCAGACUCCAACGGGAGGCAGCAGUGGGGAAUAUUGCACAAUGGGCGGAAGCCUGAUGCAGCGACGCCGCGUGAGGGAUGACGGCCUUCGGGUUGUAAACCUCUUUCAGCAGGGACGAAGCGUAAGUGACGGUACCUGCAGAAGAAGCACCGGCUAACUAUGUG
rnacentral:rRNA from 1 species